rnacentral:lncRNA from 1 species
UCUCCAUUCCAUCAUGCCGGGUCAAACAGGGUCAUUAGGAUUGGUAGGAAGUACUUUUACUCACAGAGCCAUUUGCCUCCGUUUGUUCUUUUUUCUGGUAAAGAUUAAUGGAACAUUUAAUAUAGGCGAGGCACUGGGGAUAGAGAGUGGGGAAAAGCAGGAUGCUCGGCCUGUAUUUAGCAUUAAGGUGAAAAUAAAAAAAAAAACUGUAAUAGUAAAAGGAGAAACACAUAGACUCUUUGGGGGAGAGGAAAGGAAAUCUUCAGUGAGUAAAUACAUUAUCUCUGCCAAGUUUUGAAGAAUAGAUGGGAGUGUUCUAGUGGUUAUAAGAAAUUUGUUCUGCCUGUGGUAUGUUAUAGUAGUAGUUGGAGAGGAGGAGGCAUGUUGUUGAAGACAUGUUCACAGAGAUAUGGAGAGCCUCUAGUGUAUGGAAACUGUACCAUGCCCUUAGAUUUCUUCCUUUAAAUAUUUCUCAUCUCUAGAUUAAUGCAGAUUGUUUUUAAUGUGUUCUCAUUUGAGAUAUUAGUUGUUGAAUUUUUCUAGAAAUUCUUUAUUUUCUGGUAAUAUGUAAUCAGAAUGCAUAUAUAAUUGGAAUAUCUAUAACUAGUUAUAGAUAUUUUCUUUAGGAUUAAAAGUCAUUUGGAUUAAGAAUUUAAUUUUCAGUGAAAAGUUUAAAAUAUUUUAUUUCACUGUACUAUUUACGCUGUAUGUCCGCUCCAUAUACAGUUUUCGAUGGUGUAGUGCAUGCAAAAGAUUAGUAAACCAUGAACACUCCUCACUGAAAGAUAUGCCUUGUAUUUGAUUUAAAAACAAAAUAAAACAAAAAACUCAGU